ensembl:lncRNA
UGUGCUUGUUUCAGAUCUACUACAUUGCAGUCGGACUGCGCAUAAUCACUGAUCUACAGAAAUCCCCUUGGUUAAAACAACUACUCAUUAUGUGAUGAAGAUUAGCGUAUCUGCACAGAUCCUUGCUCAAAUGUAUCCCCUCAAACAGGCGAUCUACCAGAGGUGGGACCAUGUCAUUACAAGUCACAAGUCUUCCGGAAGGCGGAGCUUCGCACCAGAUUGGCUAAACUUCUGCUGCAGCUUUCUGGCCCCCAGCAAACUCCGGGGAUUGUGGGAGAAGGAAAACAUAAGGAGAUGAAAAAGUGUAUUUGGUGUGUCUUUUGUUGUUGCUCGGGCACAGUGGAGCCACCUCUGAGGCUCUUCCAUCGCACAGUCCCUCUCCUACCAAGAUCCCCAAAAUCCCCAAGAUCCCCAAGGGAGAAGCAGAGCCAACAGGCCGACAGAAGAAGACUGGCAGUCAGAAGGAGAUGGUAACGAGGGGAGAGACAGGAAGAAGGGAGGAGACGGGAGGACGGAGAGAGACAGGAGCAGGGGGAGAGCAGUCAGAGCCCUGUCUAGCUGUGACCGACACAAGCCCCAAGGAAAACCAGGAAGGACAACGGAAUGGAUCCCAGCCGGCGACCCAAAAAAACGACUCCGUAAAAGAGGGAAACGUCCGGAGACGGGCACAUCGUGCACCACUCCCCAGCAUUCUUCUCGCCAAUGUCCAGUCUCUUGAUAACAAGGUUGAUGAAAUCCGAGCAAGGGUAGCAUUCCAGAGGGACAUCAGAGACUGUAACGUUCUUUGCUUCACGGAAACAUGGCUCACUGGAGAGACGCUAUCGGAGGCGGUGCAGCCAGCGGGUUUCUCCACGCAUCGCGCAGACAGAAACAAACAACUUUCUGAAGCUAAAACAAGAAGCUCCCACGCUGAGGUCUGUCCAACGCUGGUCCGACCAAGCUGAUUCCAC